rnacentral:rRNA from 1 species
AUUGAACGCUGGCGGCAGGCCUAACACAUGCAAGUCGAACGAGUGGCGGACGGGUGCGUAAUGUCUGGGAAACUGCCUGAUGGAGGGGGCUAACUACUGGAAACGGUAGCUAAUACCGCAUACCAUCAGAUGUGCCCAGAUGGGAUUAGCUAGUAGGUGGGGUAAUGGCUCACCUAGGCGACGAUCCCUAGCUGGUCUGCGAGGAUGACCAGCCACACUGGAACUGAGAAACGGGCCUGACUCCUACGGGAUGCAGCAGUGGGGAAUAGUGCACAAUGGGCGCAAGACUGAUGCAGCAAUGCCGCGUGUGUGAAGAAGGCCUUCGGGUUGUAAAGCACUUUCAGCGGGGAGGCGUUACCCGCAGAAGAAGCACCGGCUAACUCCGUGCCAGCAGCCGCGGUAAUUC